CAUUUGCCCCUGCCUGCUCAGCCAUGGCUUCAGGCUGCGAAAAAUAGGAAUUAUGUGCAGAAAAAGUUUUGAGAUUAAACUAAGUAUUAAUUUUGGUUUCCUUUCCUUGUUUUCAACUACAGUUCAAGACUCAAACACUUUUCUAAAGGUGGACCAGAAAUGUGGUGGUUUUUUCUGAGCGGAAAUUGAUAAUUUUGUGCAAAGAAAAAGAAUGGGAUUUAAAGAUAGUAAUGAACCUGUCUUGAGCUAUCAGGAUAAAAGCCCAAGGCACAUGGGUCUGGAUAAAGUGCCAGACUGGAGUGUGAGUGUUUGGAUGCAGUGGGGUGAAAGGAAAGGGUUUGUUCUUCUGCAGCCUGGAUGGUAGCCACAAACCAGAAGUCUUGCACUUGAAGUUUGCACCUCUGUUGCAAGCUCUACACCUUCCACGUUACAGCACUGUGCCUUCCUUCUCACUCUGCAGCUUCUCCCAAGGUGCCUGCGAGGAGGCCACACAAAUCCUGUGCAGGAGGGUGCUGCAGAACGCUCCAGGUGCAGUCCUGAGCUGGUGGGGCUCCCAUUGGAUUUGCCCCAUCCAAUGUCCUGGAGAAGAAGGUGACAAUGUCUCCAGGACAAUUUUUAGCAUUCAGAGUUGACCACUCUGUAAAAUGAAAGCCCAGCAGCCCAACUGUUCCAGAGCUAGCUGUGGGCAUGGGGAGAGUAUGGAGAAGAAUGGGGUACUGCAGGACGCUUAUCCCAGCAAGGUGUCUCUUCUGCUGUACCAGUCUUUAUACAGGAGUUAAUGUGGGAUUUCUAAGCAGGAAGACUGGAAGAAUCCUUGUAGAUCAGUCAGUGGAGCAGAGUGUUGUGAACCUCAGUGCAAAGACCCACAAGCUGCAAAUCUAUAGCAAAAGGAAGACUGCAAAGAAUCAUGUCAGCAAAUGCAUUGGCAGUUGAGCAGGGCAGUCUUUAAACAGUGGAAAGAGUAGGGGAUGACUCACUGCUGCAGCAAGCUGAGGAUGCUUCUGCUCACUGCACUGCCUCCAGACUAAUUAAUUUAUCAUGAAAGUGGAGGAGUUUUGCUGAAUGUCGCCAUGCUCGUUUUGCCUGCCUGGGCUUCCCCCAUUAUUUCUAGGUGGAUCUUUAAUGGAAAAAUUUGGUCUGCCAUCUGUAAGUGCACCCAUCUCUCGGAUAAUGCUGCAGGCCUAAAUGGGAAACCCCAGCAGCAUUUUUGCUUGCAUGACUCCAAGCCCUGCACCAUGAGAGCGUGCCCAGGACAUGUCAGAGACCACUCUGCUGAGACUGGGGAUAGCACCUGAAGGCCCGUGGAGAAGGCAGCUGCUCCUGGCUCACUGCCCCACAUUCUUGGCUGCUUCCUGCCUUGGUGCCUUACUUGUUGUGCCAGCUGGAGCCUUGGGAGAGCUGCUGCUGAUUUAAUCGUUCAAUAAAUUCCCCAGUGCAAAUACA
rnacentral:lncRNA from 1 species